rnacentral:sRNA from 1 species
AAAAAAAGAUUGAGAGAAGAAAGAAAAAGAGACGAGAGAGUGAGGAGAGAAUGAGGGACUUAGAAUGAGGUGGAGAAAAAUGGGUAAAUAUGUCAUUGUUUUUUUUGUCUUGUAUUACUUUCUUAAUUUAUAAGUUUUUGUUAGUUAUUCUUGCAAAUUUCCCUUUUGUAAACUAUAUUUUUUUGUUUGCUUUAGUUUUUUCUUGUAGUUAUAGAAUGCAAUUAUUCUUCACGUUUUGAAGAUAUGUAAAACAUUUAUCCAUUUCCAAUGUUGCUUUUUUUUU